AUGGAGAAUAUCAUCAAACGUUAUCAGAAUUUCCCAGAAGCACAAAAAAGAGCACAUGGAAGGAGCCUUCUCAAAGAGAGAAGAAGCAAGGAUUUUCAAAUUCCCAUAGUGACAACAGAUAGAAGGCCAAACAUUCAUGACAUCAGGUCAAUUGAUGAAUCAAGCAUAUCCCAGUUGACCAUCGAACAGCUUAGCCAAAUUGAAAGAAAAUUGGAGUAUGCACUAAGGAGGGCAAAGACCAGGAAGUUGGAAGCGUAUAGGAUCGCCACACUACAGGAGAAGGGGAAAACAACGCUCGAGGAGAGGGACUUGAUGGAGAUGGUCUCGAGGAAGGAGCAGAAGCAGGAGGGAGGAAGGUAUGUAACUAGAAGCCAGCAAAGCAGCAGGGAGGUGGAUUUGACGCUCAGCCUCGGCAUCGGCAUUGGCUGCAACGUUGGUUGCUCGCAUAGGCACCAAACGCCAAUUGACCUCAACAUGCCGUGA
rnacentral:rRNA from 1 species